GUAGCGUGUGGGUGCAGUGUCCAUGCUCUCUUACCCCCGGCCCUGUGUGUGGGGACAUACAUUAGAGAGAGCUCAAUAAAAGAAGUGGGGCAGGGCAGCAAAAAACCUAGAGCAUCUGUCCUAGUAGGCCCUUCACUGCAAGCGGGGUUUUUUUGCUCUAAAUAAACUUUAUCAGGUAUAAAAACGUGUGCAGAGACAAAUCACGUCACGUGGCGCCAUCUU